rnacentral:rRNA from 1 species
AGUGAACGCUGGCGGUAGGCCUAACACAUGCCAGUCGAACGGCAGCACAGUAAGAGCUUGCUCUUACGGGUGGCGAGUGGCGGACGGGUGAGGAAUACAUCGGAAUCUACUUUUUCGUGGGGGAUAACGUAGGGACACUUACGCUAAUACCGCAUACGACCUACGGGUGAAAGCAGGGGAUCUUCGGACCUUGCGCGAUUGAAUGAGCCGAUGUCGGAUUAGCUAGUUGGCGGGGUAAAGGCCCACCAAGGCGACGAUCCGUAGCUGGUCUGAGAGGAUGAUCAGCCACACUGGAACUGAGACACGGUCCAGACUCCUACGGGAGGCAGCAGUGGGGAAUAUUGGACAAUGGGCGAAAGCCUGAUCCAGCCAUACCGCGUGGGUGAAGAAGGCCUUCGGGUUGUAAAGCCCUUUUGUUGGGAAAGAAAAGCAGCAGGUUAAUACCUCGCUGUUCUGACGGUACCCAAAGAAUAAGCACCGGCUAACUUCGUG